rfam:Ictidomys tridecemlineatus contig080440, whole genome shotgun sequence.
AAAAAGGGCUUUUGUAGUGAGUGGCACAUGUAGGGCAACUUGAUUACUCUUCAUGUGAAUUGACAUCAACAGAUUUUAGAAGGUUGAGUUUUUGGCAGUUGGGCAGUAUCCUACAUUAAAAAUAGAUAAUUAAUUAAUUAAAAAGCCCUGGCAGGCUGUGGUUGUGUCUCG